rnacentral:snRNA from 1 species
ACCCUUCACUUUGUCGAA